rnacentral:rRNA from 1 species
GCUUCCAAGAGUCAAGUUGUUUGGGAUUGCAGCUUAAAAUGGGAGGUAAAUUUCUCCUAAGGCUAAAUAACGGCGAGAGACCGAUAGCGAACAAGUACCGUGAGGGAAAGAUGAAAAGAACUUUGAAAAGAGAGUUAAACAGUACGUGAAAUUGUUGAAAGGGAAACGAUUGAAGCCAGUCGUACCUGCGGGUAAUCAGCCUUUUGGGCAUGAUUCUGUGGAGCGUGAGGAGUUAAACGCCUUCAUGCCUGCAUAUUCGUGUACUUUGGGUGUACUUGCCUGUGUGGUUAGUUAACAUCAAUUUUGGUUAUCAUAAAAUGGUUGGAGGAAUGUAGCUUCGAUUUCGAUUGAAGUGUUAUAGCCUUCGGCAGAUGUGAUGAUCGGGAUUGAGGAUUGCAACGGAUACCCUUCGGGGCUACCUGCCUGAUCUCUGAUCGUUGCUCUGGUGCCGAAAGCGUGCUUACGGUUAUCAAAGUCGAUGGUUAAUAGGUUAGAAUGGGUUAAAUUCGUUAAGGAUGUUGACCGUAAUGG